AUUGAACGCUGGCGGCAGGCCUAACACAUGCAAGUCGAGCGGAUGAAGGGAGCUUGCUCCUGGAUUCAGCGGCGGACGGGUGAGUAAUGCCUAGGAAUCUGCCUGGUAGUGGGGGAUAACGUCCGGAAACGGGCGCUAAUACCGCAUACGUCCCGAGGGAGAAAGUGGGGGAUCUUCGGACCUCACGCUAUCAGAUGAGCCUAGGUCGGAUUAGCUAGUUGGUGGGGUAAAGGCCUACCAAGGCGACGAUCCGUAACUGGUCUGAGAGGAUGAUCAGUCACACUGGAACUGAGACACGGUCCAGACUCCCACGGGAGGCAGCAGUGGGGAAUAUUGGACAAUGGGCGAAAGCCUGAUCCAGCCAUGCCGCGUGUGUGAAGAAGGUCUUCGGAUUGUAAAGCACUUUAAGUUGGGAGGAAGGGCAGUAAGUUAAUACCUUGCUGUUUUGACGUUACCAACAGAAUAAGCACCGGCUAACUUCGUG
rnacentral:rRNA from 1 species